AGCUCGUGUACUGACCAGAACCAGGAAAUGGGACCACAUCACUCCUGUCCUGGCUUCAGCCACAUGGUGACCUUUUAGCCACAUGGUACAGUCUGGGGCCGUAAUCAGUUUGGGUGGAUCCAUACCUGAGACGGAACCCCCACUCUGAGUCUCUCGCUCGCCCGAUCAACCUCCUAGACCAGCCUGAAAGACGAUGGCCAUCUCACACCUACACCCCUCUCAUACACAUACAUCUGUCAAUAUAUCUUACAUUUACAAUUCACAUUAAAUGUUCAAACUAA